GCAGUGGGGAAUCUUGCGCAAUGGGCGAAAGCCUGACGCAGCCAUGCCGCGUGAAUGAUGAAGGUCUUAGGAUUGUAAAAUUCUUUCAGUAGGGACGAUAAUGACGGUACCUACAGAAGAAGCCCCGGCUAACUUCGUGCCAGCAGCCGCGGUAAUACGAAGGGGGCUAGCGUUGCUCGGAAUUACUGGGCGUAAAGGGAGCGUAGGCGGACAUUUAAGUCAGGGGUGAAAUCCCAGAGCUCAACUCUGGAACUGCCUUUGAUACUGGGUGUCUUGAGUGUGAUAGAGGUAUGUGGAACUCCGAGUGUAGAGGUGAAAUUCGUAGAUAUUCGGAAGAACACCAGUGGCGAAGGCGACAUACUGGAUCAUUACUGACGCUGAGGCUCGAAAGCGUGGGGAGCAAACAGGAUUAGA
rnacentral:rRNA from 1 species